rnacentral:lncRNA from 1 species
AAAUCGUCGUCCCCCAGCGCUUGAUAAAUGAGACAGAGAGCUUUCUUGUCUCUCUUUCUCGCGUCUCGCAAUCUAUCCUUUUGUUGUUGGGAUAGUGUGGCCUCGUCCUGCGGCUCGUCGUAGCCGUUCUCCACAAUCUCCCAAACGUCGUGGGCUCCCAAUAGCGCCUUCAUCUUGAUGCUCCAAUUGUCGAAGUUGCUCUUGUUGAGCAUGGGACUUGAAACGAUUGUAAAUUCGUCAUACCACAAG